UUUGCCCUCGAAUAACCGGAAAGUUCUGAUUGAUUGUAGUCACUGUUCGGUUCAGACAGGGGCAUACAGCAAUUUGGGAAAAAAAUCC